rnacentral:rRNA from 1 species
UACGUAGGGGGCAAGCGUUGUCCGGAUUCAUUGGGCGUAAAGAGCGUGUAGGCGGCCAGGUAGGUCGGUUGUGAAAACUGGAGGCUCAACCUUCAGAGGUCGACCGAAACCAUCUGGCUAGAGUCCGGGAGAGGAGAGUGGAAUUCCUGGUGUAGCGGUGAAAUGCGUAGAUAUCUGGAGGAACACCGGUGGCGAAGGCGGCGUCCUGGACCAACACUGACACUGAUGAGCGAAAGCCAGGGGAGCAAACGGG